GAUGAACGCUGGCGGCGUGCCUAAUACAUGCAAGUCGAGCGAACGGACGAGAAGCUUGCUUCUCUGAUGUUAGCGGCGGACGGGUGAGUAACACGUGGAUAACCUACCUAUAAGACUGGGAUAACUUCGGGAAACCGGAGCUAAUACCGGAUGAUAUUUUGAACCGCAUGGUUCAAAAGUGAAAGACGGUCUUGCUGUCACUUAUAGAUGGAUCCGCGCUGCAUUAGCUAGUCGGUAAGGUAACGGCUUACCAAGGCAACGAUGCAUAGCCGACCUGAGAGGGUGAUCGGCCACACUGGAACUGAGACACGGUCCAGACUCCUACGGGAGGCAGCAGUAGGGAAUCUUCCGCAAUGGGCGAAAGCCUGACGGAGCAACGCCGCGUGAGUGAUGAAGGUCUUCGGAUCGUAAAACUCUGUUAUUAGGGAAGAACAUAUGUGUAAGUAACUGUGCACAUCUCGACGGUACCUAAUCAGAAAGCCACGGCUAACUACGUG
rnacentral:rRNA from 1 species